GCUGAUAGAGCUCAGUUGGUAGAGCGCACCCUUGGUAAGGGUGAGGUCCCCAGUUCGACUCUGGGUAUCAGCACCA
rnacentral:tRNA from 1 species